GUUUUCAAGGAGAGAAAAACUCCAGGCAGAAGUGUUCUUUCCUGGCUUUGGGGAAGGAAAAGGAUAAGGCAGAAGUAUACAUGAAGCCACUGAAGAGAAGGAACAGUGAGAAGACAAAAAGGAGCUGGACGCCCAGAAUUCCUCCAUACUGUGACUCCACCCUCUUAUUGGACCUUGUAAUCCUUUGCAUUCUGCUGGAAGAUGAAUAAAGACAAUGAAGAGGAGCAGGAAGAAACAC